rnacentral:tmRNA from 1 species
AUCGUCAGUUAGCUCUUGCUGCUUAAGCAGCUGAGCCGGAAAUUAGCUGGUGCUGCUCUGAACCGGUUAAAUUUCUGUCGCAAAUCAGGGCUUGCUGAGUGCGGUGUCCGAUACGUACUCGGGACUUCUAUCGGAAUACGGAUCCGACGCUUGCGGUACUGCUACCGGGUCCCGACAACUACCUCGUACCGCUAAACCUGUAGACGUUCCUGACCCGCAUAUUCGGACGGGGGUUCAAUUCCCCCCACCUCCAAAU